UCUCACCAACCCUCAUAACCUACCCGACACCUCCUCUUUCCCCCUUCCAGCGCCGAGCUCCUCUCCCGUGCCCUAAGCCGACGCACCACCAUCCCUCUUCCUCCCGAGAGCAUCCGGACGCCGACGCCCUCUCUUCCUCGCACACAGACCGCAGCCGCCGACCUCUCCUGACGCGCAGGCACCAUCUUCACCGGCGGCCUCUCCUUCCUUCCCUCGCUCGAGCACCACCACAGCAGCUGCCGACCUUCUCUCUUCGCGUUGUGCCCUAAUUGAUCCGGCAAGUAAAUCUAACUAUGAAAACAUGAAAUCUGUGAGGUAUAGGAGAGGAACGCAUGGAGAGGAUGAGGUACUGGUUCGCUUGUUUGAUAGUAUGGUAUUUCGGUUCUAGAUGAGUUUUCUUGCUCCGCGAUUUUCGUGUUGAUCAGUCCUUUACGGUAAGGAUUCCCGGCUUUCCGGUGGAGUUUGGUUUUAGUAGACGUUUUGAUGGUCUUUUGGGUUGGAAUUCACGAUGUUGGUUCUCUUGUGGCCUGUUGGAUUGAGAUUUCACAGUAGACUUGAAGGUUGAGAAUCGAUUUCGAAGUCAUCUUGUUUUCUUCGAGAUAGUAGUAACUUUGUAACAGAUUUGGUAGGAUGUGUAUCAUUUUCAAUAUUGUGAACACUCCUUCGUAUUGGUUUGAAAUUCUAGUACGGACUUGGAAGUAAGGGAAUUGGUGUAGAUUUAAUAAUUGUUUUUUUUUUGUUGUUUUCUCUAGCUAUGCAUGAUUAGACUGAAACAUCAUAAAAAUGUAGUUAGGUAACCAUCUGAUGAUGUCUCAUUUUCUGUAAAGGUUCAAUUAAUUAUUGUGCAUGUAUGUUGGCAAGUAUUACUUCUUCUUGUAGGUAAGGAUUUGGGAGUCGUUUAAGGGGUUGGGAAGCCUCUUUCGGUGGUGACCAAGGGAAAGGAUGGAGAUGAGGGUUAUUCUUCUUCUUGGUGAUUUUCGGCCGCCUAGAACAGAUUUAGGAUGUCAUUUUGGGAUGAGCACUCCGACGCGGGGAUUGUUUAGCUCGAGCUAUAUAUUAAAGGCGGGUACUUCUUGCUUUGUUUUUCUUUUAGUACAUUGACCUUAGUGCAUGAAUUAUUUUGGAUAA